UACGUAGGGUGCAAGCGUUGUUCGGAAUUACUGGGCGUAAAGGGCGCGUAGGCGGGCCCGUAUGUCGAUUGUGAAAUCCCCGGGCUUAACCUGGGAAUUGCAGUCGAAACUGCGGGUCUUGAGUGCUUAAGAGGAUGGCGGAAUUCCCGGUGUAGAAGUGAAAUUCGUAGAUAUCGGGAAGAACACCUGAGGCGAAGGCGGCUGUCUGGUGAUGCACUGACGCUGAGGCGCGAAAGCGUGGGGAGCAAACAGG
rnacentral:rRNA from 1 species